rnacentral:lncRNA from 1 species
CCAACACAUUUUGACGACGUGCUUAAGUUGUUUAUUUUAAGAUGGUGAUGUGUUGAGCAUAAGAAAUGUUCCAGAUUCUUUGGCAACUUCCUAUGAUUUUAAGAAAUUUGUUUGCUUAUUUUUUAUUCAGGUCCCAAGAUUAGUGAAAAUGAACAAAGUGCUAAACUGAUGAUUACUUUAGCCACAAGCAAAAAAAAAAAAAUUGUUUAUGAAAUUCAUGUGGGGAAAGCGAAGAUUAUUUCAUUAUUACCGGUACCUUUUUAUCAAAAAAACAAAAAAAAUUACAUAUUUUUGUGAAUGUUAUGUAAGACAAACUAUAAAUAAAAAAUUUGAAGUCAUAGGAACAUCGUCGGCUGAAACAAUACAUUUCUGUUUUUAUGAACAUUUUGACGAGUAUGUUCCAUGUCUAGUUGUAUUCAGUGUAUUGUUUGGUUGCUUUUAUAUCAUCAGCACUCUCCAUAUGGAUUCCUCAUCUGGCUUUUAUCUACCAGUAACAGUUUUAACUAGAUCAUAUAUACACAUAUAUGUAAAACGUAUAUGCAUGUUGUUUUCCUAAAGGAAGUGAUCCAUAAAAACUAUUCUUAUCAAUUAUUUAAAUCCUAAGAGAAACAAAAUUUUCGUUUAUCAUUCAUGUAUGUUAGGCACAAAUUCAUAUACUAUAUGUGGACAAAUAGUCAUAUCGAUACAUACAAUUUACCAACGUGGUUUCAUACAUGAUCUAGGGUUUAUCCUACUAUUUGUACUUUAUUAUUUUCAGAUGAAAAGAAUAAUUAUUUACACUCCAUAUAAUUUUUUAUUCUUGCAGUCUAAAGAUGAAUGAAUAAUGCUAGCACCAAAUGGUGGUUAAUCAUUUUAGUAAUUUAGACCAACCAAAAGAGUUAUUUUUGGGUUCACCAACCAAUAGGAUUUCAUUAUUUAAAAUUUUAUAACUUUUAAAAAAGAAAACAAAAUAUUGUAAAGUUAUAUUAUGUUUUAAAAAAAAAGUAGUUAUAAAAAAAAAUUAAAAAAAAUAUUUUUAACGUCGUGAGCAAAACACUAAACCCUAAAUCCUAAUCCCUAAACCCUAAAUCAUAAACCCUAAACCCUUUGUUAAAUCCUAAACCCUUGGAUAAAUCAUAAACUUUAAAUAAAAAAACACUAAACACUAAAACCCUAAACCCUUGAGUGUUUUAAUGUUUAGUGAUUUUGAUUUAGAGUUUAGGAUUUAUCCUAGAGUUCAAGGUUUACCAAAGGGUUUACGGUUUAGGAUUUAGGGUUUAAGAAUUAGGUUUUAGGGUUUAAUAUUUUACUCACGAUGUUAAAAAUAUUUUUUUGUAAUUACUACUAUUUAAAUUUCUUUUUACCUUUUAAUUUUAAAAAUAUAAUAUAAUUUAACAAUAUUUUGUUUUAUUUUUUAAAAGAUAUCAAAUACAAAAUUAUACAAUCUUAUUGGUUGGUGAACCCACAGGUUCCCCUCCUAGAGCGAACCCAAGAAUAAUUCCGACCAAAAUAAAUACAUGCAUCAUCUCAUAAAAACUCAUUAGCGCGUCCUUUAAAAUUUUAUAUCACAAAUUGGCAUUGUCUAUGGGAUGCUCUUCGCUUGUGUUCUCAUACCCUCAAUUAGGCCUGGGCAAAAUAACCGGAACCGAAGAACCGAACCGGAACCGAACCGAAAUACCCGAAACCGGAACCGGACCAAUACCCUCAAAUAUCCGAACGGUUCUUAUAUUUUUAUAUCCGAAAUAACCGAACCGAACCGGAACCGAACCGAGAACCGAACGGAUACCCGAAUAUAUAAAAAUAUUAAUUAUAUAUACAUAUAACAUCACUAAAUAUAUAUUUUUAAUUUAAAAUUCUUUUAAAAGUAUCUGAAAAUAGUUGAGGAUAACUAAAUUAUUAUAAAGUAUCCAAACUACCCGAAAGUAUCCGAAACUAUCCGGAUAGUUUUAUCCGAAAUGUCCAAAGUAAUCCGAAAUAUCCAAAAUUUUUAUGUAAAUCAUCCUAAUUAUUUAAUAUUUUACCCUAAAUAACCGAUAUUUUAUCCAAAUUAUCCGAACUAUCCGAACUAUCCGAACCCGAACCGGAUCCAAAUGAGAACCGAACUUUUUCCGGAUAUUUUCCGGUUCCUAAAUUUACUAUCCGAACCGAGCCGAACCCGAAACUAUCCGAACCGAACCGAACCGAAAAUAGGUCAAGUACUAAAUGGAUCCUCUAGCCCCUAUCCGAACUACCCGAAACCCGAAAUACCCGAACCGAACCGAACCGAUACCCGAAAUGCCCAGGCCUACCCUCAAUAUUACUAAACCUAACAAAUCCAUCUUCAAUAGGCCCACUGGAAAUCCAUAGUUACUCCUAGACACAAAAACAAAGAUGUAACAUAUCACAUUUAUCAUGUAAUUAAUUAUAUUCUAAUUUGAGCGAUGAUCCUGAAAUUGUACUACGGUAAAAAGUCUAUAAAUUAAUUAUGGUGGGUCUAUAUUUUUUUAUUAAUUUGCAGAAUUAUUAAUUUAGAAAAAAUCAGUUUUUCUGAUUUUUUUAUGAUAAAAUAUUUUUUAUAAAACAAGAAAAUAUUUGAUUCUAAAUUUUUGAAAUGGUAUUUUCGUAUAGCUUUUACGUAUAUAAAAUAUGUUUCAAAGACUUUAAUUUUCGUUUUAGAUAUAAAUUUACUAAAAAUCAUCAAAAUAUAUUGAAAUCAACAAAUUCCAUUUUAUCACGAUGUCUUUUUAUUGUGAAAAAAAAGAUUCACCUAGUUUUUUUGUUGAUAAAAUGUGAAAUUUAUUGAUCAAUGAAUAAUAGUAAAAAUUUACAAAAGGUUGUGAGAGACUAUAAGAGAUAUAAAAGAAAAACUAUACAAUACAUGUAAAAAUGAAUUUCAAGAUCCUGUGAGCUAAGCCGUAACUUCGAACCACCGACACAUCAAGUCUGUAAACUUGUGGUCAGCCUUAUAUCGUAGAGAAGUAAUCCUAUUUCGCAUAGCCUUAUCAAUGAUCUGAACCACAUGUUCCACUGUCCGAAACCCCGUUUGGUGUAUUCUCUCAUUCCUCUCUUUCCAAAGAUUCACCUAGUUACAAAACUGUCGUAGCUAAAUAUAAAAAUAAAUUCGAUUUUUAUCGACAAAGUUAAAUUUCAGGCAAUUGUUACAUUUUGAACAAAUAAUUUAUAAACCAAGGGAUUCCAAAUAUUAGUAUUGUUAAUAUUUCCUCCAAUAUCUACCGUCCUUGAAAUUUAUUGGGUAGUCGGCUACCAAUCCGACCAUAUUUAAUUGUGUAAUUGAGGCUAUAUAUUUUGGUUAGAUAAAAAGCAUUCAGAAUAAACAACAACAUCAGUUAGUGAGGAGUAAAAAAGAUCUAUAAAAUUCUAAUACACAUAUAUGGGUUUUGGAUUUAAUAUGCACUACAAUAGAAUUAUGUCAAGAAUGUUUUAUUUCAAUUCAGCUUAAUUACUCAAAAUUAUCUUGUUGGUGUACAGACUAUUUCACUAAAAAGAAAACUACAAACAUACAUCAACAAUUUUUCAAUGUUUCACCAAUAUGAAACUAAUGAACCGAAUUCCAUAUAAAAAUGACUAAAUUUAAUUUAAAUGCAAAUUAUUGGAUAGCAAAAUGUAAUUAUUUCAAAUUUAGAGUGAGUUUGAACAACAUCAACCAAUAAAUAGGUGCACCAAAAAGUAGCCAAAUUUUAUUGGUAUUAUAAAACCAUAAAAUAGAGGAAGCAACAACAACAGAAAAUCAAAAGACAAUUUCAUCAAAAAAAAACAAUAGCAAUGAAUCAUGUUGCUUGUUAAAGAAUAAUUUAAAAAUUAGUAGUAGGGCAUUUUGUAGGAAGGAGAGUAGUAUGGUGGAGGUGGUGGGGAGCUGUAGACGUAUGGAGGUGGUGGAGACUUGUACUCUACCUUCGGAGAGGGAGAGUAGUAUGGCGGAGGUGGUGGGGAGCUGUACACGUAUGGUGGUGGUGGAGAUUUGUAUUCGGCCUUAGGAGAAGGAGAGUAGUAUGGUGGAGGUGGUGGAGAGUUGUAAAGGUAUGGUGGUGGCGGAGACUUGUACUCUACCUUCGGGGAAGGAGAAUUGUAUGGUGGCGGUGGUGGAGAGCUGUAUACAUAUGGCGGUGGUGGAGACUUGUAGUCUACCUUCGGGGAAGGAGAGUAGUAUGGUGGAGGUUUUGGGGAGCUGUAGACGUAAGGCGGUGGUGGAGAUUUGUAUUCGACCUUCGGGGAAGGAGAGUAGUAUGACGGAGGUGGUGGGGAACUGUAGAUAUAUGGUUUUGGAUGUGGUGUAUAUUUAGGGCCUUGUCUUCUAUAUUGUGGUGGAGGAGAUGGUGGUGCCGAGUAAUAUGGGGAAUUCUUUUUGGGUGGAUAUGGUGAUUUGGUUUUAUGGACUGGGGGAUAUUUCUGUGUUGUUGGGGGAGAUUCAUAAGGGUAAGCUGCAGCUACGAUGGCGCUAAAGACCACAACAUAAACCAUGCAAUGCGCUAAUCCACUAAUUUUUGGGGAUCUCAUUCUACCCGUAGCUGUUCUUUUAGUUUCUCUUCUUUGUUAUGAUAUAGUUCAACGUGAAGUCCCUUGAUAUAUAGUCGCUUUUUGUGUAAAGUUUAUAUUAUUCUCCCCACUUUGGUUCGUGUGUGAACCAGAAGAAUGGCCAGCUUUUGCAAGUUAUUUGGAAGAUAUCACGAAUCUGAAAGAAUGAGCAUAAGAAAUGUUCCAGAUUCUUUGGCAACUUCCUAUUAUUUUAAGAAAUUUUGUUUGCUCAUUUUUUAUUUAGGUCCCAAGAUUAGUGAAAAAUGAACAAAGUGCUAAACUGAUGAUUAUUUUAGCCACAAGGAAAAAAUAAUAAUUGUUUUAUGAAAUUCAUGUGGGGAAAGCGAAGAUUAUUUCAUUAUUACCGGU